rnacentral:rRNA from 1 species
GACGAACGCUGGCGGCGUGCCUAAUACAUGCAAGUCGAGCGAAUCAAAGGGAGCUUGCUCCCUGAGGUUAGCGGCGGACGGGUGAGUAACACGUGGGCAACCUGCCUAUAAGACUGGGAUAACUUCGGGAAACCGGAGCUAAUACCGGAUAAUUCAUAUCUAUUCAUGUAGAUAUGCUGAAAGACGGUUUCGGCUGUCACUUAUAGAUGGGCCCGCGGCGCAUUAGCUAGUUGGUGAGGUAACGGCUCACCAAGGCGACGAUGCGUAGCCGACCUGAGAGGGUGAUCGGCCACACUGGGACUGAGACACGGCCCAGACUCCUACGGGAGGCAGCAGUAGGGAAUCUUCCGCAAUGGACGAAAGUCUGACGGAGCAACGCCGCGUGAGUGAUGAAGGUUUUCGGAUCGUAAAACUCUGUUGUUAGGGAAGAACAAGUACCAGAGUAACUGCUGGUACCUUGACGGUACCUAACCAGAAAGCCACGGCUAACUACGUGCCAGCAGCCGCCGUAAUAC